rnacentral:misc_RNA from 1 species
AACGCACAUUGCACCUUUUGGUAUUCCGAAAGGUAUACUUGUUCGAGCGCCGUUUCAUAAUUCAAGCUUUUGCUUGGUGUUGAAUGAGUUACUUUGGUAACCAAUCGAAAUUCUUGGGCAUUGAAGUCAAAUCCAAAGCGUGACAACUCUCGCUAUAGAAAUGAUAAUCAAUAGCCAGUUUUUUUUGAAUUGAUGGCCUCGGAUCAAGUAAGGUUACCCGCUGAACUUAA